UGCCAGGGCGUCCAUGCUGCGUCUGGGCAAGCACUGCCUGACUGUCCUUCAAGGAGACAGAGCCAACGGAAGCUCUGCGCAGGGCCGAGCUCUGCUCCGGAUCACGGACAUCCUGACCCCUGGGCUCCUCCGAAUGUGACUGCACCUGGACAUAGUGCCUUUAAAGAGGUGCCAAGGCCAAGUGGGGCACUAGGGUAGCCCUGGCCCAGCCUGUGUUCUCAUAAGAGACCAAGACACAGAGGGGUUUCCCUGAGAGACUCAGGAGGAGAGGCCAUCGCACACUGAGGAGCCACCGGAGGAGCCAGCCCCACAACACCACCAUCGGGGACGUCCAGCCCCCAGGGCUGUGAGAAAUGAACCUCUGGUUUCAGCCACCGGUCCGUGGGACUUGGCAUGGCACUGAGCGGACCACUUCACCACCUUCACACACCAGGUGUGAGUUCCACGCGUCCUUAAGAGCACCCAUCCCACCCUCUGCCGUGUGAGCAGCUAAGUCAAG
rnacentral:lncRNA from 1 species